UACCACUCAGGAUGGCACCUGGAGAGUUGCCAGUACUCUACCAGUCUCAACUAUGGGAGGGAGAGUCAAGCAGAAGCCUACCCAUUCCAUUUCUGGCUUGGGCAGUGGCUAAUGAGUGGCAGGCAAUCUGCUACAAGC